GGGAUCAUUUCACUCGCGGAUCGGGCAUUCCCAAUCCCUGAGUGACAUGAACCCGAA
rnacentral:pre_miRNA from 1 species